rnacentral:tRNA from 1 species
GGCAUGUAGCUCAAUGGUAGAGCACCUGCCUAGUACACACAAGGCCCUGGGUUCCAUCCUCAGCACCA